UACGAAGGGGGCUAGCGUUGUUCGGAAUUACUGGGCGUAAAGCGCGCGCAGGCGGUCUUCCAAGUCAGUGGUGAAAGCCUGGAGCUCAACUCCAGAACUGCCAUUGAAACUGUUAGACUUGAGUACGAGAGAGGUGAGUGGAAUUCCCAGUGUAGAGGUGAAAUUCGUAGAUAUUGGGAAGAACACCAGUGGCGAAGGCGGCUCACUGGCUCGUAACUGACGCUCAGGCGCGGACAGCGUGGGGAUCGAAACAGG
rnacentral:rRNA from 1 species